rnacentral:rRNA from 1 species
UACGAAGGGGGCUAGCGUUGCUCGGAAUUACUGGGCGUAAAGGGCGCGUAGGCGGUUUGUACAGUCAGGCGUGAAAGCCCCGGGCUCAACCUGGGAACCGCGCUUGAGACUGGAGAACUAGAGUUCGGGAGAGGAUGGUGGAAUUCCCAGUGUAGAGGUGAAAUUCGUAGAUAUUGGGAAGAACACCGAUGGCGAAGGCAGCCAUCUGGACCGACACUGACGCUGAGGCGCGAAAGCGUGGGGAGCAAACAGG